GAUGGCGGCUCCGGCCGCCAUGGAGCUGCCCAGCUUCCGGCCCGCCGCCCCGAGGGCGGUACGGCUUGAGAGGAGCCCGCGCUGAAGGACGAGUUCCUCUCACCGAGGUGACCUCUGCACGUCGCGUAUACGCGAGGCUGUUAUGGAAUUUGGUGCUAACGUUCCAGAAAGCAAUUUCCGAACGUGAAGACAGCAACCUAAUAGAGCUGUGGUCUUCACAUUCAGAAGGAAUACUCAUCCUCCAAGCGAAGGUGCUUGGUGCUUCAGAAGUCAAGGCAGAAGAAUCAUUAUACAACGUGCCAGGGAAAUUCACUUUCAUGUUACUCCUUUGGAAGCUUCAUCCCCUGCUGCUUGUUCAUUGCAGCUUGCUCACUUGUUUUCAGCAGCACACCAGCUUAUAAAGCCAAAGAGGAGGCAGUCACCACUUCCUACCUCUGCAGCGGAAAUGCCAAAUCACAGCCUGAAGCAGUGAUUGAGCACCUGGUGGGAAGGCAGGGCCAACCUGGGGGAGCUCAGGUGCAUGCAGUGGACCUGAAUGACCAGAAGGGGUGGAGCCAGGAUCCACUCCUUCCCAGUCCUUAUUUAAGGAUUGGCAUUGAAAGCAAGGGUGUCUUGCUGGAAAUUCCCACCUGCUUGAGGCUUUCUAAAGUUGUCUAUGUCUGCAAUAUCCGAGGGGGGAGGUGUCUCCGACUGCUGCUGCCCAUCGAUUAUUGGAGAGUCCGAGAUCUGCUGCAGCUCGCUGUCACUAAUCAUCCCAGCUUCAGGCACUUCCAUAGCAUCCUUUUCAGCUGUGUUGUUACAGAGCGACAAAGAAACAUUACUUUCUCCCUGCUGGCUAGACGUGAAGGGAACUCCCGUGUGGAUCUGCAAGUGUUCGCGCAAGCUGCUUCGUAAAUUGAACCGGCGACCACAGAGGUGGCAGGCAUAAUACUUUGGGAAGCUUCCAUUCCUUUUCAUAAUGCUCGGCUUGACGUGUGCUAUCGUGAGUGAAGCAGGCUGUUCAUCUGAAGAAGAUGCUUCCAUGUUGGCUUCCUCUCCCGCAGGUGAAUUAUUACCAGCAGCAGAUACCAAUUCUGGAGAUAAAGAUGAUGGCAAUUGGUCGGAAGUGGCCAUAUUUGUCCUGCUCACUUGUGGCAGAGUUGUAGGUAACUGUGAGAGCUGCGAGCCUUCUGAAACUGGUUCUUGGGUCAUCCUGGAAGUCUGUGGCCUUGGUUCUCGCCCGAGUUUGUCAGCUGCCGAUGUAACCUUAGCGGGAUGUCUGAUCUGGUGAUCUGCAAUCUGAAUGCCAUAUAAUGAAGAUGCUAAUGGAAAAACUUGAUCUGGGUGAGAAAAAGUUCCCUGACUUGCAAGGCUGGCCUCCUGAAUUAGUGGAUAUGCAUGCAGAAACUUUAUUCCCUGCUCUAGUCGAACUGGGUCAAUGAGCUGUGGUGCCAUCUUGCCAGUGUACAUCAAAUGCAAGAGAUAACUGAAGAUAUCUGGCUGUAUGUCGGUUGCUUUCAAACGGACACAUUCACUGGAAAGUGAAACAAAAUGAUCAAUAACAGAUUGGGAAAAUGCUUUCAAUCAGAUUUAAGUUAUUCAAACAUUGGUAAAAAUCAGAACUGUGUACUUAAAUUCAGAAGACAAACUCUGUAAUAAAUGAAGAGAAAUGCUUGGCCAUUUGCAAGAUGACUUUUUUCCCUCAGCAAAUAACUGCCUAGAAAGAUUGUCCCACUGCAAACUGCACCCUUCUCAAUGGCUGCUAUGUGACAGAUCUGUUGACACAUACUGAUAUAUUUCAUAAAUUGCAAAGACAUUUUUCCUCUAUUUUGUGCUUAAAUACAUCUGCAGCCAAAUUAAAACCUCCCAGCACUGUGUCUGAA